AGGGAUGGCCGGCCCAGGAGGGAGGAGGACGACGUCCCUCCCGAAGAGAAGAGGCUGCGGCUGUAGCUGGAGGGGGGAAGCGCAGAACCCGAGGACUGCGAGGACGGGGAGGACGCGCCGCGGCCAGGCAGGGAGGAGACCGGCACCCAGACAGGUGGCGAAGGCAGAGGAGAAGGAAAAUACAUGUACAGCCAACUUCCUUGAGGGUUCGUUCUUUUGCAUCAGGGUGUCUCAAACUGAUGCCCUUAAAACACCUGUAAGAGAAUCAUCCAGGCGGCUUGCUUGCUCUGCAUGCAGGCCCUUUAGAAUCAGACUCAGAAUCCCUGGGGCUGGAGCCACAAAAUGAAAUGACAUUUCAACCAGUUUGUCAUCAUGUGAGAGAGAAUAGGGCUUCCGCUGGGACUAGGAUCAGGAUGUGAACACCCCCAACCUGGACCAUCUGGCCAGGGAGGGCGUCAAGGCCAAGUACCUCAUGCCGCCCCUUGUGACAAUGACCUCCCCGUCCCACUUCACUGCCAUCACAGGUGAUCGAGUGUGGAUCAAGGACUGGAAAGUAGCCUCUUUGUGUCCACUGUGGAACGGACCCCAGACUGUCGUCCUGAGCACUCCCACCGCUGUGAAGGUAGAAGGAAUCCCAGUCUGGAACCACCACAGCUGUGUAAAACCUGCAGCGCCGGAAACCUGGGAGGCAAGACCAAGCCCAGACAACCCUUGCAGAGUGACCCUGAAGAAGACGACAAGCCCUGCUCCAGUCACACCUGGAAGCUGACUGGUCCACGCAUGGCCGAAGCACGAGGAAGCUCAUCGUUAGAUUCAUUUUUCUUAAAUUUUGGACUUAUACAGUAAGGGCUUCAACUAACCUUACUCAAAAUGGGGACUGUUCCCAGUGUAUUUAUCAGGUCACCGAAGUAGGACAGCAAAUUAAAACAAUCUUUCUGUUCUAUAGUUAUUAUGAAUGUAUGGAAACAUUAAAAGAAACUUGUUUGUAUAAUGCCACUCAGUACAAGGUAUGUAGCCCGAGAAAUGACCGACCUGAUGCGUGUUAUAGCCCAUCUGAGCCCCCUGCAACCACCGUUUUUGAAAUAAGAACUGGCCUUUUGCUAGGUGAUACAAGUAAAAUAAUAACUAGAACAGAAGAAAAAGAAAUCCCCAAGCAAAUAACUUUAAGAUCUGAUGCUUGUGCAGCCAUUAAUAGUAAAAAGCUAGAAAUAGGAUAUGGUUCUCUUAACUGAGAAAGGAGCUAAAGAGUAGAAAAUAAAUAUGUUUGUCAUGAGUCAGGGGUUUGUAAAAAUUGUGCCUAUUGGCCAUGUGUUAUUUAGGCUACUUAAAAAAAGAACAAAAAUGACUCGGUUUAUCUUCAGAAGGGAGAAGCCAACCCCUCCUGGGCCGCCGGUCACUGUAACCCACUAGAACUAAUAAUUACCAAUCCCCUAGAUCCCCUUUGGAAAAAGGGAGAACGCGUAACCCUGGGGAUCAAUAGGACAGGGUUAAACCCUCAAGUUGCCAUUUUAAUUAGAGGGGAGGUCCACAAGUGCUCUCCCAAAACAGUAUUUCAAACGUUUUAUGAGGAGCUGAAUCUGCCAACACCAGAACUUCCGAAAAAGACAAAAAAUUUGUUUCUCCAAUUAGCAGAAAAUGUAGCUAAUUCCCUUAAUGUUACUUCUUGUUAUGUAUGCGGAGGAACCACUAUCGGAGACAGAUGGCCUUCGGAAGCCCGAGAGUUGGUGUCUACUGAUCCAGCUCCUGAUAUAAUUCCAGUUCAGAAGGCCCAAGCUAGCAACUUCUAGGUCCUAAAACCUCAAUUAUUAGACAAUACUGUAUAGCUAGAGAAGGGAAAGACUUUAUCAUCCCUGUAGGAAAGCUUAAUUGUAUAGGACAGAAGUUGUAUAACAGCACAACAAAGACAAUUACUUAGUAGGGCCUAACCCACACUGAAAAGAAUCCAUUUAGUAAAUUUUCUAAAUUAAAAACUGCUUAGGCUCAUGCAGAAUCUCAUUAGGACUGGACGGUUCCCACUGGACUAUACUAGAUACGUAGGCACAGAGCCUACAUUCGGUUACCUAAUAAAUGGGCAGACAGUUGUGUUAUUGGCACUAUUAAGCCGUCCUUUUUCUUAUUACCCAUAAAAAUGGGUGAGCUCAUAGGUUUCCCUGUCUAUGCCUCCUGAGAAAAUAAAGGCAUAGUUAUAGGAAACUGGAAAGAUAAUGAGUGGCCCCCUGAAAGGAUCAUUCAGUAUUAUGGGCCUGCCACAGGGGCACAAGAUGGCUCAUGGGGAUACCAAACCCCCAUCUACAUGCUCAACUGGAUCAUACGGUUGCAGUCCGUCUAAGAAAUAAUUACUAAUGAAACUGGCAGAGCUUUGACUGUUUUAGCUUUGCAAGAAACCCAAAUGAGGAAUGCUAUCUAUCAGAAAAGACUGGCCUUAGACUACUUGCUAGUAGCUGAAGGAGUUUGUGGAAAAUUUAACUUAACCAACUGCUGCCUACAAAUAAAUGAUCAAGGACAGAUGGUUAAAAACAUAGUCAGGGACAUGACAAAGGUUGCACAUGUGCCUGUAGAGGUUUGGCACGAGUUUAAUCCUGAGUCUUUAUUUGAAAAAUGGUUUCCAGCUAUAGGAGGAUUUAAAACCCUCAUUGUAGGUGUAUUGCUAGUGAUAGGAACUUACUUGCUGCUCCCCUGUGUAUUACUCUUGCUUUUUCAAAUGAUAAAAGAUUUUGUUGCUACUUUGGUUCAUCAGAAAACUUCAGCACACGUGUGUUAUAUAAAUCACUAUCGCUCUAUCUCACAAAGAGACUCAAAAAGUAAAGAUGAGAGUGAGAACUCCCACUAAAAAGUGAAAAUGCUCAAAGGGGGAAAAUAUGGUAUGAGACCACCACUUCUCCUGUUGUCCUUCCCAGUUUCUCCCCAACCUCCCCUUUUCCCUAGUUUAUAAGACAGCAAAAAAGGGAGAAAGCAAAAAGCUGGAAAAAACAGAAGUAAAAUAAAUACCUAGACGACUUUGGCGCCACCACCUGGCCCUGGUGGUUAAAGUAACAAUAAUAUUAACCCCUGACCAAAACUACUGUUGUUAUCGGUAAAUCCCAGACAUUGUAUGAGAAAGCACUGUAAAAACUUUUUGUUCUGUUAGCUGAUGUAUGUAGCCCCCAGUCAUGUUCCUCAAGCUUCCUUGAUCUAUUAUGACUUUUUCACGUAGAACCCUUAGAGUUGUCAGCCCUUAAAAGGGCUAGGAAUUUCUUUUUCAGGGAGCUCGGCUCUUAAGACACGAGUCUGCCAACGCUCCCGGCCGAAUAAAAAAAC
ensembl:lncRNA novel transcript